AGAUGCAUGAUGAGCAUAUUUUCUGAGUAUGUUGAGAAAAUCAUUGAAGUUUUUAUGGAUGAUUUCAGCGUCU